GAAACCAACAGGGAUUGCCCCAGUAACGGCGAGUGAAGCGGCAACAGCUCAAAUUUGAAAUCUGGCCCCCCCCGCCGGGGCCCGAGUUGUAAUUUGAAGAGGAUGCUUUUGGCGAGGCGCCUUUCCGAGUGCCCUGGAACGGGACGCCACAGAGGGUGAGAGCCCCGUAUGGUCGGACGCCGAGCCUCUGUAAAGCUCCUUCGACGAGUCGAGUAGUUUGGGAAUGCUGCUCAAAAUGGGAGGUAAACCCCUUCUAAAGCUAAAUACUGGCCAGAGACCGAUAGCGCACAAGUAGAGUGAUCGAAAGAUGAAAAGCACUUUGAAAAGAGAGUUAAACAGCACGUGAAAUUGUUGAAAGGGAAGCGCUUGCGACCAGACUCGCGCCCGCCGGAUCAGCCGUCGCUCGUCGGCGGCGCACUCCGGCGGGCUCGGGCCAGCAUCGGUUCGCCUCGGGGGGAGAAAGGCGGCGGGAAUGUGGCUCUGCGGAGUGUUAUAGCCCGCCGCGCAAUACCCCCGGGCGGACCGAGGACCGCGCGUAUGCAAGGAUGCUGGCGUAAUGGUCGUCAGCGACCCGUCUUGAAACACGGACCAAGGAGUCGUCCUAGUAUGCGAGUGUUCGGGUGUCAAACCCCUGCGCGUAAUGAAAGUGAACGGAGGUGAGAGCUUCGGCGCAUCAUCGACCGAUCCUGAUGUUCUCGGAUGGAUUUGAGUAAGAGCAUACUGGGCCGGACCCGAAAGAAGGUGAACUAUGCCUGUAUAGGGUAAAGCCAGAGGAAACUCUGGUGGAGGCUCGCAGCGGUUCUGACGUGCAAAUCGAUCGUCAAAUAUGGGCAUGGGGGCGAAAGACUAAUCGAACCUUCUAGUAG
rnacentral:rRNA from 1 species